UGCAGCUUCUGACACCGUAACGGAUGUCGGUGAACUUGGUUUUGAUCCACUUGAAGCUGCUACGAACAGAGGACUUGAGCUUACCUUCCAUGGUGAGAACGUUGUAAGAGGCCACACGCUUCUUCCGCUUCAGCUCUGGGUCGCUCGA